rnacentral:misc_RNA from 1 species
UUGUGGAGGAGGACGCCGAAGGUGGGGCUAAUGACUGGGGUGAAGUCGUAACAAGGUAGCCGUACCGGAAGGUGCGGCUGGAUCACCUCCUAACAGGGAGACAACAAAAUGUUAAAUAUUAAUUUUGUCACCUUAGGUCGAUCGGUAUCUCACAUUCUUAAUUUAUUUAUUAUUGAGAAUUUCAUUCCUAAGUUUUUUCUAGGUCACACCCAUUACUUUUCCUGGGCCAUUAGCUCAGGUGGUUAGAGCGCACCCCUGAUAAGGGUGAGGUCCCUGGUUCAAGUCCAGGAUGGCCCAUAUCUCUAUGUUGGGGGUAUAGCUCAGUUGGUAGAGCGCCUGCUUUGCAAGCAGGAUGUCAGCGGUUCGAGUCCGCUUACCUCCACUGAUUACCACCUCUUCCAUAAUUUAUAGAAGGGAAAUGUUUUAGUUGUGAUCAAAUUCUGAACGAUUCUAGCUUCCUAAUCAAAUUUAUUAAGAUGCUGGACUCAUUGAAUUAAUUUCAUUGUUUUCAGAGAACCUUGACAACUGCAUAGAUUAUUUUUAAAGACAAUAAGCAUCUUUAAUGAUGCAGAUUUAUUAUUUGUGCGAAUGCAUUAAUAACAAUUCUAUUAAGCUGAUGCUUCAAUUUUUGAAGUUAUUGGUCAAGCUACAA